rnacentral:lncRNA from 1 species
UCACGUUGACAUUUUCAACUACCUCAUAGCAGCUUUGAUUUGAGCCAUUUCCUGUACAGCGGAAGUCUCAAGGACAAGGAAAACGAGCUCACCGUCACCGAAAGUCACUCAUGAUCAGCGGCUAGCGAACGGCUCUCUUAUGCAAGCUUAACUUGCUAGGAGUUGUCGUGGCGCGGGAGGGAUGUACGCGGGUGCUGGCGGGCCUCCGCCCGCACGGGCGUAUAUUUCGCCUGAAGAGCGUGCAAAGAUGCGGCAACAAGGGUAUGUCGGAGCUCGACGCAACCGUAUGCUAGGUUGCGUUUUUAGAGGAUCGUACCCCUUCCUUGGCAGGUUGAACAUCUUGAUGCAAGCGUUUGGCAACACGAAGUUUGCUGCUAGGCUUCCCACGGUCGUUGAAAGGGCUGAGGAGGAUGCGUUUAGCAAAUGCGUGGACCAGGUGUGUGGGAUUUGGACCCGGAACCAGGGUUCAGGGCCCGGGGCCCUUUCCUCGCGAGCUACUUCCAUGCCUACCCAUGCCGUAUGCCGCACAGAACUCAUACUACCUGGCCUUCAAGAAGAGGAUUGAAAACAGCAAGGACGGCAUCGUGAAGUUGCUGGAGCAGCGGCACAUACAGCAGCAGCAGAAAUUAGCCGCUGAGCAGCAUAAACUGGCAGGACAUGGGGUCCCUGCGCAGCAGCACCCGCUCCACCAACACCCGCAGCAGCCCCAGUUCCCAC